CCUACGGGAGGCUGCAGUGAGGAAUAUUGGUCAAUGGCCGAGAGGCUGAACCAGCCAAGUCGCGUGAGGGAAGACGGCCCUACGGGUUGUAAACCUCUUUUGUCGGGGAGCAAAGCGAGUCACGUGUGACUCAUUGAGAGUACCCGAAGAAAAAGCAUCGGCUAACUCCGUGCCAGCAGCCGCGGUAAUACGGAGGAUGCGAGCGUUCUCCGGAUUUAUUGGGUUUAAAGGGUGCGCAGGCGGAGGUGCAAGUCAGCGGUCAAAUUGCGGGGCUCAACCCCGUACCGCCGUUGAAACUGCAGCCCUUGAGUGCGCGAGAAGUAUGCGGAAUGCGUGGUGUAGCGGUGAAAUGCAUAGAUAUCACGCAGAACUCCGAUUGCGAAGGCAGCAUACCGGCGCGCAACUGACGCUCAUGCACGAAAGCGUGGGUAUCGAACAGGAUUAGAUACCCCUGUAGUC
rnacentral:rRNA from 1 species